CCAGUGACACAUCAUACUGACAUCUAAGAAUAGUAAGACUCAUGGGCCAUGACAAAGCGAUGGUCUUUUAUGGAUUAGUGAGUGGUGCUUCUGUUCAGAACAGGGAAACCAACAUCUUUCUAAAAUAGAAUAUGUCACACUUCAACCCUGUCUCACCAAUCAGCAAAUACUCUGGUCUUAGGGCUGGACUGGAUUUUAAGCACAAAAUUCCGAAGUAAACUCUCAGAUAUUUACAAGUCAGCUGUGGUGCUAUUUGUGCUCCUUUCUUCUCGCCACAAGAAAUUAUCUUUAAAUAUGUCAGACACGGAAGACUGUGUGGAGGAAAUUGAUUCAGUCACUGCUCAGCCAACUUGCAGACUA